rnacentral:rRNA from 1 species
UCCGUAGGUGAACCUGCGGAAGGAUCAUUAAUGAUUAACUGUCUGUCGAGCUUGCUCACAGACUUAUCAUAUCCAUAACACCUGUGCACUUGUCGGAUGGCUUAGUGAAGACCGCAAGGUUGGAACUAUCCAUCUACUUUACAUAACAAUUUAGUAACAAAUGUAGUCUUAUUAUAACAUAAUAAAACUUUCAACAACGGAUCUCUUGGCUCUCGCAUCGAUGAAGAACGCAGCGAAAUGCGAUAAGUAAUGUGAAUUGCAGAAUUCAGUGAAUCAUCGAAUCUUUGAACGCACCUUGCGCUCCCUGGUAUUCCGGGGAGCAUGCCUGUUUGAGUGUCAUGAAAACCCUCAACCUUAGAUUGGUUAACACCUUUCUUUGGCUUGGAUUUGGACGUUUGCCGAUGAUAAGUCGGCUCGUCUUAAAAGUAAUAGCUGGAUCUGUCUCGCGACAUGGUUUGACUUGGCGUAAUAAGUAUUUCGCUAAGGACAUCUUCGGAUGGCCGCGUUGCAAGACUAAAGACCGCUUUCUAAUCCAUUGAUCUUCGGAUUAAUAUUCUUGACAUCUGGCCUCAAAUCAGGUAGGACUACCCGCUGAACUUAAGCAUAUCAAUAAGCCGGAGGAAA